rnacentral:lncRNA from 1 species
CACUGCUAGGGGCUUAAGCGGAGGGAGUCGAGCCAGCGUCGCCGCGAUGGUGUUGUUGGAGAGCGAGCAGUUCCUGACGGAGCUGACCAGACUUUUCCAGAAGUGCCGGACGUCGGGCAGCGUCUAUAUCACCUUGAAGAAGUGUAAGCAGCGGGAGGGGAGCCGGGCGAUGCUCCCUGGGUUCCCGGUGUCUGGGAGCCACCGGAGUCUGUCUGCCGCGGACCGCCGCCUUCCUCUACCUUUCCCCACCCUGUACUGAGCACAUUCGGGGCUUCGGGCCCGGAAAAUAGUAGGGAUUGUAGCUGGCUCAGUCCCCAGCACUGAGCCGCCUAGGUUGCUUCUGGUAACAAUGGGCCCCAAGCAGCCCAGGGCUCUUUGUCAGGGAUCCCAGACGCCGCCACUUUGAGUGGAAUUUAACGUGCUUCGAUAUUACAUGUUUCCGUCGUGGAAAUAAUAGUUUCUCCAGGGUUUCGCCAGACCGUGAUAGCAGAUGAGGUGUUUAACAAAACUAGAGCAGCGGGGCUGGGUUAGGUCAUCACUUACCCCACUCCUCUGUUUUAACUGUUUGUCUGCCGCUCAGCCACGUACGCGGCCGUGUUCACCAGGAUGCAUUUUUUCCUUCAGAUGACGGUCGAACCAAACCCAUUCCAAAGAAGGGUACUGUGGAGGGCUUUGAGCCCGCAGACAACAAGUGUCUGUUAAGAGCUACCGAUGGGAAGAAGAAGAUCAGCACUGUGGUGAGCUCCAAGGAAGUGAAUAAGUUUCAGAUG